UACGUAGGGCGCAAGCGUUGUCCGGAAUUAUUGGGCGUAAAGAGCUCGUAGGCGGCGCGUCGCGUCGGUUGUGAAAGCCCGGGGCUUAACUUCGGGUCUGCAGUCGAUACGGGCAUGCUUGAGUUCGGUAGGGGAGAUCGGAAUUCCUGGUGUAGCGGUGAAAUGCGCAGAUAUCAGGAGGAACACCGGUGGCGAAGGCGGAUCUCUGGGCCGAUACUGACGCUGAGGAGCGAAAGCGUGGGGAGCGAACAGG
rnacentral:rRNA from 1 species